UACGUAGGGGUCGAGCGUUGUCCGGAGUUACUGGGCGUAAAGCGUGCGCAGGCGGCUCAUUGCGCCCGGCGUGAAAGCCCCCGGCUCAACCGGGGAGGGUCGUCGGGGACGGGUGAGCUUGAGGGUAUCAGGGGUUGGUGGAAUUCCCGGUGUAGUGGUGAAAUGCGCAGAUAUCAGGAGGAACACCGAUGGCGAAGGCAGGUCUCUGGGCCACUACUGACGCUGAGAAGCGAAAGCAUGGGGAGCGAACAGG
rnacentral:rRNA from 1 species